rnacentral:rRNA from 1 species
UACGAAGGGGGCUAGCGUUCCUCGGAAUCACUGGGCGUAAAGCGCACGUAGGCGGAUCUUUAAGUCAGGGGUGAAAUCCCAAGGCUCAACCUUGGAACUGCCUUUGAUACUGGGGAUCUCGAGUCCGGAAGAGGUGAGUGGAACUGCGAGUGUAGAGGUGAAAUUCGUAGAUAUUCGCAAGAACACCAGUGGCGAAGGCGGCUCACUGGUCCGGUACUGACGCUGAGGUGCGAAAGCGUGGGGAGCAAACAGG